ACGCCGCGCGGGGCCGAGCGGGAAAAGAAGGCCCUCCUUCCCCGCUGCGGUCUGGGGCCCUGAGGAGACCCCCGCCGCCUCAGGAGAGCGGCGCACAGAGGAGCCCGCCGAGAGCGGCUUUCAAAAGUCAACGUGCUGACACGAGCUCUCGGAGGCGGACCGACCCCGCAAUUGGGGUCCAACGGCUGGACACAGCACGCACCCCGUCUUUUAGAGAUGAGGUCGGCGAAGAGAGAAACCUGUUUCAAAGGCAAAACUGCAGCCACCCCAGAUGGGACUCGAACCCACAAUCCCUGGCUUAGGAGGCCAAUGCCUUAUCCAUUAGGCCACUGGGGCUUCUGUGAGCGACGCCCUGAAACAUCAUAUUCAAUCUGUUUCUCCGUGUGCUUGGGACGAGAAUGUAAACAUCGACAGAAACAGCAGCCCUAUGACCACAAAAGUACUUUCCCAUCAGGUAGAUUCCAUCAGCCAACUAAAUGUUUCGUCUCCUUUGCUUGCUGGGAAGUCACUGAGAUUUCCGUGGUAAUUUAGUGUCCCCUUUACUUUGGCCUCCAUCUGAGAAAAAGAGAUGUUAAAUUGAUAUGGAUAGGCAUGUCACAAAAAAUAGGCAAAAACAAAGCAAAAAGAGCAAUUAACUGUUAGUUUGUAUGUGGAUGGCGUUUCUGAGACAACCUUGACCGUCUCACAGGCUACUCAGCAUUACAGAGAUUGACUACACAUAAAGGAUAUUUUUUAAAAAGUCAAGACCCAUGAUCCUCUUAUCUCAAUGACUGUGGUCGAGCUGGCUUUCUAUGUCCUAUACAGACUGUGUUUCAAUAAAUGCUUAACAUUUACCUCACUGCCAAGUGCAUCCACGCUGGGAGGAUUACUGAAGAACUGAAAGACAGUCCCUACCUUCGAGGGACCAACCACUUUUAAUCCAGUGCAAGACAAGGUCAAUCUCACCUUGCUGUAAAUGUAAUUGAAUCACUUGCCAUGACAAGGCACUUGAUAAUUAGCCCCAAUUAUUUAUGUAAAUGAAUACAACACGCUGGCAGUGAAAAGACCAGUGUUCCAGUCCUAACCUAGCUACGAGUGGCAGGAGAGUCUGCUGGGGAGCGAUGGCUUCUGUUCUUACAUACUGCUGUUCCGCUGUCGGCCAGGAGAACGCUGAUUACUCCAUAGGAGCUUCAGCUAAGUCACAGAAACUGCAAGAGGACAGAAAGGGCAACUACUAGGCAAGAGCAGGGUUCAGGAGCUGCAGAGCGAGCAGAACAUGGACAAAGUCUGUAACAGGCCGGUGCCUUGGAAGAAAAACCAAGUCCCAGAGACAGCCCAGGCGUGAGAGAAAGCACGAGGGAAAGAAGCCUUCACUUUGCAGGAAGCAGCAUGAUGGCAGAAACGCACAGGUGAAGAGAACAAGUGACUGCACUCCAGUGGUCAUACUGCCUGGCCAUGUGUGUGACCUCUCAACACCUUGGAAAACUUAGAACAAAACCUGCUCCUACUGAAGAGAGAUGUAUCAAUGAAACAAGAGGGUCUUCUCCAAGUUGUAUGCAUAGACGAGCAUUCAAAUAAUUCUGGUGACAACUUCGGUUUUUUCAUUUAAAGUAAGACAUCAUUUAUCUACAUUUGUAGACAGCAAUGACUUGAUCAGAGUUCAUCACAAAUGAAAUUCUCAAAAUGGCAAAGGUGCUUUUUAAACAGAAUUGUGCUCAAAGCAGCUUUGGUUAAUCGGCAAAAUAAGACACUCCUAUUAAGUGGAGUGGGAGAUUAUGUAGACCAGGGUUUGGCAAACUAUGGCCCAAGAGCCAAACCAUGCUCACCAUGUGUUUUUGCAGAUAAAGUUUUAUUGAAACACAGCCAUGUUUACAUGCGUACUGUCCUAUGACUUUUUGUACUACAAUGAUGGAGCUGAGCAGUUCCUGCAAAACCUAAAACAUCUACUCUUUGGCUCUUUACAGCAGUUUUCUGCUGUUUCUUUAAGAGUAGGUAAGAUUAAAAGCAUCAACACUAACUGAGCUCUUACUACGUACUGGGUAUGAUGCUAGAAGCUUAAAUUCCCAUAGAAGUCUAAGAACAUCGCGUCCACAGUUGACAAGCAAGAGGCGUGACGGUCCAGCGAGUUCAGAGGCUGGCUUGCUCAGUGGCAGUUUUGGAAUCCAAAAUUCCAAGCUCAGUUUUCACAUGAGAAAUUUUAAACUGGGUACCUUCAGUUAUGUGGGAAAUGCUGGCAGUCCUAUUUGCCUCCUUGCUCUUGCAGACAAUGAGACACUGCCUGUAAGGGCUACUGGGGUCCUGUUUAAUGCCUCGCGUGGUCACAUUCAUGCCAAUCUGCCUGCAGAAGCGCAUAGGCCUCCGCCGGACUUAGCCCAGUAAGCAGCUGCUGGGAAGCCCAGGGAGGAGCUGCUGCGGUUACAAGGCUCCUCCCGUUAACAUUUAAACCUACUCGCCUUCCGAAGGCGAGAGCUGCUAGCAUCUUGCCUACUGUGUGUUACCCAGUUUGCACCACUAUGAUUCACCAUUCAUCCCAAGGGUGAGCUCACCACUGGGUCUCUUAGAGGCUUAGUGACGACCUGCUGCCUCAAGGCUGCCGCACAGCGCUCAUGUCUGCCCCGUGAGCUGCUUCAAAGAUAACUGUUCACACAAGGUCAGAGAGAACGACGGGGCCCGAUCAACUCCCAAAGUGGAGGAAGCAGUCAGGCCGUUAUUUCUUCUCAAAGGAUGCUGACAACAGCCUUCAGGUUAGGGUCAGCAGUCCACCGAGGCAGCAGGCACAUGGACCGGGGUCAACGCGCUAAGUGCAGCACCCACGGGCCCACAUCAGGUUAGGCUGCGGCCCCACAGCGCAGUCUGGGUCCUGCCAUUCUAAUCAUCGCCAAGAGAGGAAAGUUCAGCGGUCAGCAGUGCAGGCUGUGCAGUCAGCCGUGCUGGGGCAGGAUCUCAGAUCAAACCCUGGUCUGUCACCUCAGGCAAGCCACUCGCCUCUCUGGCUAAGCUGCCUGACCUGUGAACUGGGGACUGUCACCUCCACGUAGGCAACCUCAGGACUACCUGGCAUUCAGUAGGCUUCCAAAGAGUGGAAAUUAUUGUAAUUACUGAGUAGAACGACUUGUUCAUGACCCUACUGGUCAUUUCCCUACUCAUCAAUUCCAUGUAAUAAGCACCUCCGAAAAGGUUUCUUUCAUACGGAACAAAGUUAUCAUUUACCUAUUUGCUUUCUCUUAAAAGUCUGUAGCCAAUGAGGAUUCAGUCAUAUGAAAAUUUAUUUUUUUCCAAUCUCUUUUCAUUCCAUUCACAUUGUUUUCAGAAACGUAUAAUCCAUAUCUAUGAACCUACAUAAAUAAUAAAGAGACGAAGAAACAGGUGGCUUUCUUACCAUGAAAUGUUUGCUGUAAGUGUGUAGGCAGAGGUGAGUGGGAAAGUGGUGCUGCAUGCUGAGCUCCUGGCUGUAAACCCUUUAGUAAAUCUGAGAGGAAAACAGACUCGUCAGUGAUCUUCUUCCAACUACAUGUCGAGCCCUCUUAGAGCAAAACCGCAAAUCAUCCGAGUCCCUACGCCAGCCUGCCUUCACAGGUCUUCCACAAAGCAGAGCAUAUACAUCCCCAGAGGGUACAGGCAUACACGUUGAUGUGUAUGCAAACAACCCAGCAAUUCCGACUUCCUCCUGUAGCUUUCAUUAAGGAAGAAAAGUGGUAGGGAUGAUUCACUUGUUCCUUUUUGAAUCUGUAAAUAAAAUCCUAGGGUCCAGUAAUUUGAAAGUAAUAUGAAAUAAACUGCAUUUAAAAAUAUCUAUAAUCCUAUUAACUCCAACUAGACUACUCAACCAGAAAACCCGUGUGAGGUUUCCUGCUCUGUCACACUAGACAGCCAAAUAAACGAAAGAGCCCCACUUACUCUGAGUUAGGCUAUGGUGGAGAGCGGCUGAGGUAGAUCCCGAGGUGGUUGUCACUCCAGCUGUGUCCGUUCCAAAGCCAAGUAGCUCCAAGGGAAACUGGAAGGGCAUGGUGACGGGAACAAGGCCACCCAGCAUCCCAAAAGGACUCACAUUCUGAUUGGUUACAGACAAAGGUGACGUCAUGAGAGUCAGGGGUGAGGCAUUAGCCAACAAUGGCGCUCCUGCUGUGGACUGUGCAGAAAGCAGGGGUCAAAACAGGCGAGAACCAAGUACUUAACCCACAGCGACUCAGCUUGUACUUUCCCUACUAUUCUCAUGGAUGCAGGACUGCGUCUUCAAACUGUUCUAAUUUCUGAGGCAAAAAUUAAGACUGAGGUGAAGAAUGUAUUUUGAAAAGCUACCAACACUGGUUUUGAAAAUCUGCAAACGACACGUGGAAACUCUGGAUACUUGCUCAAGACUCCUUUUUAACUAAAGAUCAUUUUAACGGUGCCUACAUCACAUCCACUCACUCGCUUAGUUACUGACCUUAAACUUCUACUUCUCCACUUUGGCCGCUAGCCUGCUGACACGCACGGUCUCAGGAAAUGUGCGUCUCCGUUUGUCUGACAACUGUGCUGGCGCAGAGCUGCAGCUCUGCCGGGCCCAGCCUUUCUUCCUACACAUCGGAGACGAAGCCACCCCAAAGAUUUUCUCAUGACUAACCUUUCGAGCCUUUCUCCAAAGCGAACCUUUCGACCCUUGUCGUGAAUCCUACCUGUAGAACCUUCUUACACCACUACCCGGGAGUCCACCUUUUCCAGAUUUCCUCUGCCUUCUCGGAUAAAAAGCCCUCAUUUGUUCCUACAACCACACUCACUCCUGGUUGUUGUCUGGCUCCUAACAACAAUGGCAUUUGUGUACAUUCCUUUCAUUUUCAAGUUUACUGAAUGGCAGACUCCACUGUCCACGUCAACUUAGUCUCCUCAGCCCUGGACAGCUGGUUUCCAUCUCACUACUUUUGUGAAAUCAGACUCUGUUAGUUAGGAGGAAAUCAGUCUUUCUGUACUGUUCACCUGGGCAUGCAUGCCACGUUUAUGAAUAAACACUCAUCAAAAAGAA